GACAGAGGUGCCAAGCGUUAGGCGGAAUCACUGGGCUUAAAGCGUGUGUAGGCGGAUUUGUAAGUACCUUGUGAAAUCCCAUGGCUCAACCAUGGAACUGCUCGGUAUACUGCGAAUCUUGAGCCACUUAGGGGCUACCGGAACAAAUGGUGGAGCGGUGAAAUGCGUAGAUAUCAUUUGGAACGCCAAUGGUGAAAACAGGUAGCUGGGAGUGUGCUGACGCUGAGACGCGAAAGCGUGGGGAGCAAACAGG
rnacentral:rRNA from 1 species